rnacentral:rRNA from 1 species
CAUUUAUUAGAACAAAACCAAUUGGCUUUGGCCAUAAAUUGGUGAAUCUGAAUAACUACGCUGAUCGCAUGGUCUAGUACCGGCGACAUAUCCUUCAAGUGUCUGCCUUAUCAACUGUCGAUGGUAGUCUAUAAGCCUACCAUGGUUGUAACGGGUAACGGAGAAUAAGGGUUCGACUCCGGAGAGGGAGCCUGAGAAACGGCUACCACAUCCAAGGAAGGCAGCAGGCGCGCAAAUUACCCACUCUCAGAACGAGGAGGUAGUGACGAAAAAUAACGAGACAGUUCUCUUUGAGGUCUGUCAUCGGAAUGGGUACAAUCUAAACCCUUUAACGAGGAUCUAUUGGAGGGCAAGUCUGGUGCCAGCAGCCGCGGUAAUUCCAGCUCCAAUAGCGGAAACUAAAGUUGUUGCAGUUAAAAAGCUCGUAGUUGGAUCUCAGGUUAGGAUCUGGUGGUUCACCGAAUGGUGUGACUGCCAGCUUUCCGCCUAAUUAGUCGAAUGUUAUUUUGCGUGCUCUUAACCGAGUGCACAAAAUACUCGGCACGUUUACUUUGAACAAAAUUAGAGUGCUCAAAG